rnacentral:misc_RNA from 1 species
AACGCACCUCGCGCCCUCUGGUAUUCCGGAGGGCAUGCCUGUUUGAGUGUCAUGAAAUCUCACCCCACCAGGUUUUCUGAACCUGGCGGGCGUGGACUUGGGCGUCUUGCCGUUUGCUCGGCUCGCCUCAAAGGUCUUAGCGACCUGACUCGGCGUAGUGUGCCGGCGUGAUAAGUUUCGCCAGCCGCGGUCGAGUCUGCGCUCAAAACCGUCUCUUCUUGACAACACUCUUUGGUUCUGACCUCAAAUCAGGUAGGGCUACCCGCUGAACUUAA